GCUAGGCCCAGUGUUGCAUGCCUGUGAUCCCAGCAACUUGGGAGGCUGAGGCAGGAGGAUUGCAAGUUUGAGGCCAGCCCCAGCAAUUUAGAAAGACCCUCAGCAACUUAGUGAGACCCUGUCUCAU
rnacentral:sRNA from 1 species